rnacentral:rRNA from 1 species
UACGUAGGGUGCAAGCGUUGUCCGGAAUUAUUGGGCGUAAAGAGCUCGUAGGCGGUUUGUCGCGUCUGCUGUGAAAACUCGGGGCUUAACCCCGGGCCUGCAGUGGGUACGGGCAGACUAGAGUGCGGUAGGGGAGACUGGAAUUCCUGGUGUAGCGGUGAAAUGCGCAGAUAUCAGGAGGAACACCGGUGGCGAAAGCACGUUGCUAGGCUGAUUCUGACACUGAGGGACGAAAGCUAGGGGAGCGAAAGGG